CGUGUAGGCGGUUAGGAAAGUCAGAUGUGAAAGCCCUGGGCUCAACCCAGGAAGUGCAUUUGAAACUGUCUGACUUGAGUACGGGAGAGGAGGGGGGAAUUCCCGGUGUAGAGGUGAAAUUCGUAGAUAUCGGGAGGAAUACCGGUGGCGAAGGCGCCCCUCUGGACCGAUACUGACGCUGAGACGCGAAAGCGUGGGGAGCAAACAGGAUUAGAUACCCUGGUAGUC
rnacentral:rRNA from 1 species